AUGAAGUCACAGAUCCAGGUCCUCCUAUCCCUGAUGCUUUGGGUGUCUGGUGCCUGUGCAGACAUCGUGAUGACUCAGUCUCUAUCCUCCCUGGCUGUGUCAGCAGGAGAGAAGGUCUCCAUCAGCUGCAGGUCCAGUCAGAGUCUUUUAGACAGCAAAGAACAAAAGAACUACUUGUCCUGGUACCAGCAGAAACCAGGGCAAUCCCCUAAGCUGCUGAUCUACUGGGCAUUGACUCGGCACACUGGGGUCCCUGAUCGCUUCACAGGCAGUGCAUCUGGGACAGAUUUCACUCUCAGCAUCAGCAGUGUGCAGGCUGAAGACCUGGCAGUUUAUUACUGUCAGAAUGUUUAUAGUACUCCUCCCAUAGUGACAGGUCAACAAACAAAAAUUAAACUA